rnacentral:rRNA from 1 species
CCAGACUCCUACGGGAGGCAGCAGUGGGGGAUAUUGCACAAUGGGGGGAACCCUGAUGCAGCGACGCCGCGUGGGUGAAGAAGCGCCUCGGCGCGUAAAGCCCUGUCAGCAGGGAAGAAAAUGACGGUACCUGAAGAAGAAGCCCCGGCUAACUACGUGCCAGCAGCCGCGGUAAUACGUAGGGGGCAAGCGUUAUCCGGAUUUACUGGGUGUAAAGGGAGCGUAGACGGUCCUGCAAGCCAGAUGUGAAAGCCCGGGGCUCAACCCCGGGACUGCAUUUGGAACUGUAAGGCUAGAGUGUCGGAGAGGCAGGCGGAAUUCCUAGUGUAGCGGUGAAAUGCGUAGAUAUUAGGAGGAACACCAGUGGCGAAGGCGGCCUGCUGGACGAUGACUGACGUUGAGGCUCGAAAGCGUGGGGAGCAAACAGGAUUAGAUACCCGAGUA